GAUUCAUUCAAUGGUGACGUGUUGCACAUGAACACGUUUUAAAAAGUGCUUAUUUUGAGAAAAAAACGCGGCGAUCCUCUCUCUCAGCUCACUUCACAUCGUCGCCGGCCCUCCGAGAGGCUCCGACUCGACGCUGCUCCUCGUCUGCGGCCCACGCCUCUAGGCUUAGGCUCGCCUUACACCGACCGCACUACCGUCUCCACCUCUUCCCCUCAGGAAAUUAAUGUACUUGCAAAUCGCCCUUGCCCUUGUCAACAAUCCCCGCUGGAGUUAUUUUGGUGGCAAAUAGCGUCGUUAAGAGGGUUGAGGUGCCGGACGUCGAGAACCUGUCGUAAAACAAAUGUGCUCAGAAGAAGCUCAUCAAGAUUGGGAAUUUUUGAGUUAUCUACAUACUUGAGGCAAAGUUAGCAUUGGACAGCCUUGAAGUGCCUGUGGGUGAUGGAACUUCAAAAAAAAGAAGGGAUUUCAGUGCACUGGAGGAAUAAUGGCAACAUAAGCCAUCAAUCUUCUCAAAAGCUUUUAUGAGCAAGGAAAUCCAAAUGGUUUUACGACGGUGAUGGAGCCAGCUGACUAGAAAAAUGAUGGAUCAAACUGAGUUUUUUUGAUGAUUUUGUAGGAUUCAGUUUUAGGAUUUGAAUUCGAGGCCGAAUUUAUCAGACUGCAUCAGUGCUGUGAUGGUUCUGAUUCUGAUUCUUCUUCUUCAUUUGUUUCUAUAGUCUAAAGGCUUCUUCUUGUAAGUUGUAAGGAUCGCCAACCAGCUUCUAUUGCAACACACAAUCAAUAAAGCUUUUGUCAUUAUAUUCA